rnacentral:lncRNA from 1 species
CAAACAAACAAACAAACAAACAAACAAAAAACCAAGCAGGUUAAAUCUAUUCAUACUGUAUAAGUGAUAAUGUGAAACAAAAUAUAAAGCAAAGAUAAAGCAAGUGAUUUCCAAGAAAUAUCAGACUUGCACUAGGACAUUUAGAACCUUGCUUCCCUUUUCUCCUGGGGUCUGCAUCUGCCCUGCCUUUAGCCAGUAGAGAUACUUGAGGGGAAAAGUCUGAAAAGGCUCUGUUAGUGGGGAGUGAGAGGGUUCAGGAGAUACAAGUUCUAACUUUCUGCUUUCAUCAUCAUCAUCAUCAUCCAUCUUCUCCUUGCUGAUAAUAAGAGCAGCAAUGAAAACAACUGCUAGUUUCAUCAAAUGCUUACUAAGGACUCUCUAGUUUUAAUACCUUGUAUAUGCUGCAGCCCUCCACACACACGUACAUCUUUUGAGGUAUGUACAAUCAAUUUUUCAAUUUAUGAUUGCAAACUGAUGCACAGACUGCUGAAGUUGCAUAGCAGCCACAGCUUUGUUUCAGUUAUUGUAUUUUGCAUCUCUUCUUAAGUUUUAUAUCUUGUAUCUCUUUGCUCAGUGUUUUGUAUAUUAUCCAUCUUUGCCUCCAGUUUAUUUCCAGUGUCUUGCAUCAUCUUCAGCAUCAACAGUCUAAAGUCUUUUUCCUGGAGGCUGAGAAUCUCCUGAUCACUUAGCUGUUUUUAUGGUUUUUUUUUUUCUUUCUCCCUCAUCUGAGUUAUAGUUCUCUGUCUUUUCAUUUUUAUAGGUUUUUGGUGUGGUGACCUUUUUACAGAUAAUAGAGUUGUAGCCUCUCUUAUUUCCAGUGUCUGCCCCCCUUGUGGCUGAAGUCGGUAUGGGGGCUUGCUGUAGGCUUCCUGAUGGGAGGGGCUGAUGCCUGCCCACUGGUAGGUGGAGCUGAUUCCUGUCCCUCUGGUGUGUGGGGCUUUGUCUCUGGGUGAGAUUAGAGGUGGCUGUGUGCCUGAGGGGUCUUUAGGCAGCCUGUUUACUGAUGGGUGGGACUGUGAUCCCACCUGGAUUAUUAGUUGGCCUGGGGCUUCUCAGCACUGAUGGGUGGGGCCAGAUUUUCCCAAAAUGGCCACCUCCAGAGAAAGGCAUGCUGCUGAAUAUUCCCAAGGGCUUUGCUUCUGAUGUCCUUCCCCCACCACAAGCCACAAUCACCCUUGUUUUCUCAGUAGGACCUCUAAGAACUGCAGUCAGGUUUGACCCAGAUUCCUAUGGAGACUUUGCUUUGCCCUGGGACCCAGUGCACAUGAAAGUCUGUGUGAGCCUAUUAAGAAUGGGGUCUCUGUUUCCCCAAGUCCUGUGGAGCUCCUGCGCACAAACCCCACUGGCCUUCAAUGUCAGAUGCUCCAGGGGCUCUUUCUCCCAGUGCCAGAUCCCCUUACGUGGGAGUUUGAUGUGGGGUUCAGAACUCUCACUCAUGUAGGUGAGUCUCUGUGAAACAGUUACUUUCCAGUCUGUGGGGCUUCCCACCCGGGAGGUAUGAGGUUGCUUAUAUCACGUAUAUCGCUCGAUCGCCCCUCCUGCCUCUUGAUGUGGCCUCCUCUUUGUCUUCUGGAGUAGGAUAUCUUUUUGAAAGUUUCCGGUGCAUUUGGGUGAAGAUUGCUCAGCAUUUGGUUGUAAACUUUGUUGUUUUUAGGUGAGAAGUUGAGCUCCAGUCUUCCCAAAGCAACCAGCUUUGAAUAGCACCAGUGGGGUAGCUGGGCAAGAAAACUCGGCCUUAAAGUUAUGCUUUAUAUUGGCCAUGCCCAAUGAGCCCGUUAGUAUUUUCUUGAGGAGAGUGUGAAUGUAAAACAGAAAGAGGAUAAAAGAGGCAGAGGCAAUAAGGAAACAGUUCGAGGGGAAGCAAAACCAGAAAAAAGAGGCAGGGGGUGAUGUCAGAGGAGGCACCAGUGCCCCAAGCCCCUGGGAAAGAUGACAUGGUGGCCGGGUCCCUGGAGGGCUCACAUGUGCUCAGUAUGCAACUGAGAGCAGCGUGCUAUGCUUCUCCAUUAGGCCUGGCUGGGCCACCCCUGAUAUGUUUCCUAGUUUUCCUCACCUUCCAUGUAACCUUUCAGUCAUCCCCUAGUACUCAGGUAGUUUGGUGCUCUCUUUCUUUUCAGUCUGGAAACCUGGUGUAGGUCCUUGGGCAUAUCCCUUCUUUCUGGAUCUCAGGUUUCUUUUCAGUAAGUAAGGCAGUUGUGCUCUCAAGUCAGGGCAAUACUGCCCACUGAGGGCAGUUGAAUAUGUGUAUGUGCAGGGAAGGGGACAGUUUGAUUGUCAUAAAGACUUGGAAGGGGUUCCAUUGACAUUAAGCACAAGAAACCAGCCAUGCUAAACAUACUGCUAAGGCCAUUAGUACCCCUGCUGAGAAACACUGCAUGAUUCAGAGUCUAUACAUUUGUUUCUUCUUAUAAAAAUAUAGGUAAAUCCAUUUUAAGUUUUUUGAAGUUCUGUUAAAUGGGCUUCUUAGAGUUGAAUGUUAAAAUGUUCAAGAGAACUGAAAAAGUAGCUCAUGAUUUAUACAGAGCUUUCCAAACAAGCAUUUAAAUACUGGGUGAUUUUCUAAAGGAAACAGCUUUGCUGUGACUGAAAGAUUUCUGGCAUGUUUCUAAUGCCUUUGAGCUCUAAAGAUCUAAAACCAUGAUCACAAUAAACACAGAUGUCCUGUGAGCCAGAAAGUGUUCUGUUGAUAAAAUUAUAUGGCAUCAUUUUCUUGAGUUGCAG